AAUGAACGUUGGCGGCGUGGAUUAGGCAUGCAAGUCGAGCGAUAACCGUAGCAAUACGGGGACAGCGGCGAAAGGGAGAGUAAUGCAUGGAUAUCUACCCUCGGGCCUGGGAUAGCUACGGGAAACUGUAGGUAAUACCAGAUAACAUCUCCGGAUCAAAGGUGUGAUUCCGCCCGUGGAGGAGUCCAUGUCCUAUUAGCUAGUUGGUGAGGUAACGGCUCACCAAGGCUGAGAUGGGUACGAGGUGUGAGAGCACGACCUCGCUCACUGGGACUGAGACACUGCCCAGACACCUACGGGUGGCUG
rnacentral:rRNA from 1 species